ensembl:snRNA U4 U4 spliceosomal RNA
AGCUUUGUGCAGUGGCAGUAUCGUAGCCAAUGAGGUUUAUCCGAGGCGCGAUUAUUGCUAAUAGAAAUGCUAUAUAUAAAUCAGGAUGUGGAAAGAAUGUGUGAAGUAAAUUACACAGAAUGUUGAGAGGAUUU